GACCGGGAUGCCGAAUGGUGAGGCCUUGGUACUCGCAAUGCCAAGUUAGAGGGUUCGAUUCCCUCCCCGGUCU
rnacentral:tRNA from 1 species